rnacentral:lncRNA from 1 species
CCCACGCGCACGCGCAGGGACCCGCCCUGCCGGCUCGCGCUGGUCUUUUGCUUUCUCUUUCCGGCUUCCCUCCCCUUUCUCUCUCUCUCGGACCCGCGGGACCACAAUGCUCUGCGCCUCUUGUCAUUGGGAGGCGCCGUAAAGUGGGGGUCACUCGGAAAGAAAAGAAUUCCAUGGAUAACAGGAAAAAUCCAAGAGUUGGUGCUGUGUUCCCAACCCUAGUCCAGCACAAACCUACGAGCCAAGGCAGCCAGUAUUUGGCCAUUCGUCCAUCCAUCUGCAUAUCCCAGGGAUGCACGAACAGAGAACAGUUCAGCCUCUCGGCCACCUUCAACAGAGCAAUGAGAAAGAAGUUAUCUGGGGGAGACUGCUUUUCCUCAUCUGAUUCUAUAUUGACCUGAAUAAAUAAGCUUAAAUACUUCUGAAGUUCCUUCUUGAUCUGUAUAAAAGAUUCCUUGACCAAUUUAGUCCUGCUUGAAAAAAUAAAAAAGAUUAACCAG